UGGUUGACAAGAAAGGUGGUCCAGAAGAUAUGUACGAACUCGUUCGAGAAGCUGACAUAGUUAUAACUUGCAUGACGUUAAACAAUGAAUCAGUUGGGAUUGUGGAUCACAAGUUCCUGUCAGCUUUGAAAAAGGUUGUUGGUGAUGUUGCCCUCAAGCUUCACGCGGGGGAGCCAUUCACCAAAAUAGAAUUUGUGAACUAGGCAAACUGAGUAGAUGGCGGCAUUGUUGAUUUAAUUUAAGACGUUCCAGUUUGAAGCGGACACCGUCGUCGUCCCUUAGAUUCCCUCCUCCACCGCAGAUCGACUCCAGUUGCGUCGACUCCCGCCGCCGCCGGGGUAUACUCCGCCAAGAUCGCGCCACCACCGCUGCUGCCACUGUUGAGGUUGGAGAUGCAGAGCUUGGUGCAGCAUAUGGAUAAGGCACGCCCAGUUUGACUUGCAUAAACCACUACACAACAUUAUAUGCUAGGAACGACGGGAUGCACGUCAGAAAACUUGUCAUGAAUGAUGCUUCAACGGAUGCUGCAGUCAUCUCAUCUCCGUCAGUCAUGAUGAAAAAACAUAUGAUAAUCCCCAUAAUCCAGUGUCAAUAUUACUGAUUUCUCCAUGUGCUAUGCAGCUUACAGGCAUGGAAAGAGAAUAGGAAAAACGAUAUACUUGCAGCUUCAGGCAGCAUUGAGUUUGCUGCACAUAGUUAGUUCCCUAGGGAAUGUUCAGUCUGGUGAAACAUGUUAAGAAGAAGUAUGGAAAUCCGCCUGUGUUCAUUACUAAGAAUGGCAUGAUAGGUUGAAAUAUGUCUUCAAGAUGAUAAGAGGAUACAGUACCACAACGAAUACAUGUUAGAUGCUAUAAGGUGAUUUCAUUUCUCUGUGCAUAUGCUAGAACUGAACCACCAACACUGAGCAUCAUCAAUGCGUGCCACUGUAAUCGCUGACCAGAUUGGUACUUAAGUGCUCGAUAUGCAGCCUGAACUACUGCAGUUAGAAUGGAGUUGUUUUAAAUACUAGACUAUCUACAGGACUGAGCGCUACAGGUGCAGAGGAUAGUUCUUUCGAUUAAUUGUCGUGUUGAGGCAAGUGCACGGCGGACCUUUUCUCCGUAUACUUGACUGUGUUGUUGACGCAGGUCUAUGAAAAUAAGUUGAGUAGUCUGACUAGAGGAUGACAGAGGACGUCCAGAUUUUGAUCCAGCAGCCUUGCCCCCUUUCGUCCGGCGUGCCGCCUGCAGGAGGUUACGUUCUAGAUCUUCAGAAUUUUUAGGUACUCACUCUCCCUUGAUGCUCUUUGAUCGAACCUACUUUGCAGGAAAGCGUGCCAGUAGUAAGAAGUUUUAGCAAGUCUGUUAUUGAAAGUGUUGUAGGCACUGAUGUGAUCCGAGGUGACCAACCUGAGCAGCAGUUUAGUGAAGGUGUUUGAUACAGUUCUCCUAAAAAGGGAGAAGUGUCUGAGGAAAUCUACUUGCUCUUUCAAGCUAUGAAUAUUUUAGAUCAGUAUAUUUUAAGGUUGUAAAGACUGAUGUGUCGGCUAAAGCUUAAAGAUCAUAAAUUCAUUGUUUACCCUACCAAGUUUAUUUCUCAUUGAAGAUUAUUCUAGAAACUAUAUUAUAAGCCCAUUGCUACUUUUUACAUGUAACUUAUGGUAUAUCCUCAUAUAUGUCAAGACUAUAAAACAAGUGUCUUCGUCCUGCUCA